UUAGCUUAGCGGCAUGGGCGCCUGCCUUGUAAGCAGGCGGUCGCCAGUUCGAUCCCUGGUA
rnacentral:tRNA from 1 species